rnacentral:rRNA from 1 species
UGGCGGGUGCUAUAAUGCAAGUCGAGCGGACAGAAGGGAGCUUGCUCCCGGAUGUUAGCGGCGGACGGGUGAGUAACACGUGGGUAACCUGCCUGUAAGACUGGGAUAACUCCGGGAAACCGGAGCUAAUACCGGAUAGUUCCUUGAACCGCAUGGUUCAAGGAUGAAAGACGGUUUCGGCUGUCACUUACAGAUGGACCCGCGGCGCAUUAGCUAGUUGGUGAGGUAACGGCUCACCAAGGCGACGAUGCGUAGCCGACCUGAGAGGGUGAUCGGCCACACUGGGACUGAGACACGGCCCAGACUCCUACGGGAGGCAGCAGUAGGGAAUCUUCCGCAAUGGACGAAAGUCUGACGGAGCAACGCCGCGUGAGUGAUGAAGGUUUUCGGAUCGUAAAGCUCUGUUGUUAGGGAAGAACAAGUGCAAGAGUAACUGCUUGCACCUUGACGGUACCUAACCAGAAAGCCACGGCUAACUACGUGCCAGCAGCCGCGGUAAUACGUAGGUGGCAAGCGUUGUCCGGAAUUAUUGGGCGUAAAGGGCUCGCAGGCGGUUUCUUAAGUCUGAUGUGAAAGCCCCCGGCUCAACCGGGGAGGGUCAUUGGAAACUGGGAAACUUGAGUGCAGAAGAGGAGAGUGGAAUUCCACGUGUAGCGGUGAAAUGCGUAGAGAUGUGGAGGAACACCAGUGGCGAAGGCGACUCUCUGGUCUGUAACUGACGCUGAGGAGCGAAAGCGUGGGGAGCGAACAGGAUUAGAUACCCUGGUAGUCCACGCCGUAAACGAUGAGUGCUAAGUGUUAGGGGGUUUCCGCCCCUUAGUGCUGCAGCUAACGCAUUAAGCACUCCGCCUGGGGAGUACGGUCGCAAGACUGAAACUCAAAGGAAUUGACGGGGGCCCGCACAAGCGGUGGAGCAUGUGGUUUAAUUCGAAGCAACGCGAAGAACCUUACCAGGGCUUGACUUCCUCUGACAACCCUAGAGAUAGGGCUUUCCCUUCGGGAACAAAUGACAGUUGGUGCAUGGUUGCCUCAGC